GCUUCGGUGGGGGGUGCGUGGUCCUGCGGAGCCUCGUGGGCUGCGCCGCUCGGGGCUGGGUGGCCUCCGGUGCCGGCCCGGCCAGAGCC
rnacentral:tRNA from 1 species